UCUAAAUUGGAAAACCCACGCCGGCGCGUUCGGCAACGUUCAAUUCGGACCGGACUUUUUCGGAGGGUUUAUGCUCUGGUCUUUUUCUCGGAGAGGGUUCCUUUGGCACGCUGAAACCAGAAGCCGCAGCGCCGAGCAGCGAGUUUCGCUGCAACCGCAGGUGGCGUUGCAGAGAGAGAUCGGAGAUCGGAGAUCGGGAUGGGAACGAGAGAGGUGUACGAACAGAAGCUGAGGAACGGGAACCUGCACCACGAUCCCACCAUCAACCCCGGCCUCGGAUCGCCGCGCUGCCCUCGCUGCCUCUCCCUCCUGAACCCGCAAGCCGGGAAUGGCGAGUGGACCAUCACUCCCGUCCUGCACGACACCACCGCCGUGGCUGGUUCUGGACUAGGUGCACUGCUUAGUGCUGUUUAUAGUUUUAAUACAGGAAUCCCAUUCAUACAGAAUCGUGUUAGAGGACCCAAAUGGCUUCCUUUUGUUGUUGGGCUUCCCCCGCUGUUGCUCUUUUCUGGGGCCAGUGCUGCAUUUGGAGCUUAUGCCCUCCCCAAGUUUACUCAACUCACUGUGACCUCAUACUACGCUUCCUCAAGUGCAUCUCACUAUUGGAUUUCACUUCUCACUCGGAAAGUUGAGGAAGGUCACACUUCUGAAAUUCAGAGAGGAAAGGUCAAAUGAUUUUGUGCAGAUAGGUAUGAUAUCCAUUCUUUGACGGGAGAGUCAUCUUAACAUUUGCUUGAUCUGCAGUUUGGAUAUAUCCCCUAUGAAUUGCUAGCAGAAAACUAACGCGUGCAAUUGCCAAUUCAGCAAGAUUCUGUGUCCCAACAUCUCCUCAUUCACCUACAAAGAUGCCAAAUAAUGACAAACAAGCUUCUCUCCUCAUAGUUGAUGCACCUUUUGAAAGCCUUAUGGUUUCUGUAUUAGAUAUUUUGUGGAAAGAAAGAGGCACAAGGAACCUGAUAAACAUUCUUACCCAUUCUUGCUCGACA